AUACGGGGGGUGCAAGCGUUAAUCGGAAUUACUGGGCGUAAAGCGCGCGUAGGCGGUUUGCUCAGUCGGAUGUGAAAGCCCAGGGCUCAACCUUGGAACUGCAUACGAUACUGGCAAACUAGAGUGUGAGAGAGGAUAGUGGAAUUUCCGGUGCAGCGGUGAAAUGCGUAGAUAUCGGGAGGAAAAUCAGUGGCGAAGGCGACUGUCUGGCCAAACACUGACGCUGAGGUGCGAAAGCGUGGGUAGCAAACAGGAUUAGAUACCCCAGUAGUCC
rnacentral:rRNA from 1 species